rnacentral:tRNA from 1 species
GCCCGGCGGGCUCAGUCGGUUAAGCGUCCGACUUCGGCUCAGGUCGUGAUCUCAUGGUUUGUGGGUUCGGGUCCCACGUCGGGCU